rnacentral:rRNA from 1 species
ACGUAGGGAGCAAGCGUUAUCCGGAAUUAUUGGGCGUAAAGGGUGCGUAGGCGGUGAUUUAAGCUGGAUGUGAAAGACAAUAGCUUAACUAUUGUACUCCUUUCGAACUGGAUUACUUGAGUACAGGAGAGGAAAGUGGAAUUCCUAGUGUAGCGGUGAAAUGCGUAGAUAUUAGGAGGAACACCAGUGGCGAAGGCGGCUUGCUGGGCUGCAACUGACGCUGAAGCACGAAAGUGUGGGGAGCAAACAG